AUGCCAUGUCUUUUGAUGUCAGUUAACACAAUUGACAAUUCAAAACCAGAAAACAGAGACAUAAAUAUAUCAUGCCUUGCCAAAUCAUCUAGGUAUUUUAUCUUUAAAAACCAACUUCGAGGGUCACGGAUCCAAGAUGGCCUAAGAGGAACAGCUCUGGAGUGCAGUUUCCAGCAAGAACAAUGCAGAGGGUUAAGAACCAGUAACAGUUUGUAAUAUGACGAUUGCCUCUAAAUGUUUCCUGGAAGGGGUGGUGGAGGAAGAAAACAGCAAAGUUGUGGUAAGUGGCGAACAUUUUAUGUAAAAUCAAACUCUUAACAGAGUAGGAUCAUAAGUGGUAAAAAAUAUGUAUGUGCUAAUAUGUUUAAUCUAUACCCUAAGGGUGAGUCAGUGCCAGAUUCACCAUUUGAAAAAUGUUUAAAUCCUGUAGACAUUAGACAUUUACAGUUAAAUGUUUUUAUUGAAUAUUUUCUUCUACACAAGCAUGAUGAAGCAAACUUACUUUUUAUUCUAAUAAUAAAACGUUAUCAAAAACAACUCAUUCAUAUUUGUAUGUCCACUUUGCAUUAUUUUUGACUCAUAGUAAGUAUGCAGUAUAUAUUUAAUUAAAUUAUAAUUUUAUAUUUUGUUGUAGUUGUACACAAACUACAAUCCUUUCUACUCUAAUCAGAUAUACUACAUCUAAAGCUGGAUGGAUUUUGUUUAUUUCAUUAAUUACCUUUGCACAUAUAGGGAUUUACUUUAAAUAAAUUACUUUAAAUAAAUAAAAAAUACUUUAAAUAUUUACUUUAAAUAAAUAAAUCUCUUGGAAACCAAGACAUUAAUAGUUUUUUAUUAUUAUUUUACCUUCUAGCAAGAAGAAAGGAAUGAUGAAAACCAACUUUUAUUGAAUACCUGUUAUGUGCUGUUUCAAACAACUUGCACACGUAUUCAUGUGUCAUAGCAUUGUUCAUAUACCAGUAGAUGGUGCUAUUAUUACCUAACUUCACUAAAACCAAAACAUCUUGCUUUUUCUUACAUUCAUUACAGUGGGUUUUAUAUUGCAAAUCUUAUACAUCCAAAUAAUGAUUACCUCUUUUGUUAAUAUAAAAUAAAAAUUAUAUUUUAGAACUAUGGAUUUUAGAAUAGUGUCCAAAUAGCAAACUCUGUCUUGAAUUUUCUUCAUACAAAUUCUUUGUAAUAGGAAGAGGCAAGAAUCUUCUUCCUCUAAAAUCCAGUCACUAGUCCUGAAUUUACCCCUGGGGGUCAAUGUAGAAAAAAAAUCUGUUCACUUAUUAUUCAGUAAUUAUUCAUGGAGCAUAUUCAUUUCCUGGGGUUGUUGUAAUAAAGUACUACAAACUGGGUUGCUCAUAACAACAUCUAUUUAUUUUCUCCCAGUUCUAGAGAUUAGAAAAACAAAAUAAAGACGUUAGCAGGGCCAUCCUAUCCCUGAAGGC
rnacentral:lncRNA from 1 species